GACGAACGCUGGCGGCGUGCUUAACACAUGCAAGUCGAACGGAAAGGCCCUGCUCUUGCUUCGCGCAUGUUUGGCGAACACGUGUGUAACACGCGAGUAACCCGCACCUAACAGUGGGAUAACAUCUGGAAACUGGGGCUCAUAUCGGAUAGGAGCUUCUGAUGCACGGUGGUGGAUGGAAAGAUACGGCGGUUGGGGCUGGUAUCGCGGGUUAUCAGCUUGUUGGUGGGGUAGUGGUUUACCAAGGUUUCGACGGGUAGCCGGCCUGAGAGGGUGACCGGCCACAUUGGGACUGAGAGACGGCCCAGACUCCUACGGGAGGCAGCAGUGGGGAAUAUUGCACAGUGGGCGGAAGCCUGAUGCAGCAACGCCGCGUGCGGGAUGACGGCCUUCGGGUUGUAAACCGCUUUCGCCUGUGACGAAGCGUGAGUGACGGUAAUGGGUAAAGAAGCACCGGCUAACUACGUG
rnacentral:rRNA from 1 species